rnacentral:rRNA from 1 species
AUACGUAGGUGACAAGCGUUAUCCGGAUUUACUGGGCGUAAAGGGCGUGUAGGCGGUCUUGCAAGUCAGAAGUGAAAUUCCUGAGCUCAACUCGGGCGCUGCUUCUGAAACUGCAGGACUUGAGUGCUGGAGGGGAUAGCGGAAUUCCUAGUGGAGCGGUAAAAUGCGCAGAUAUUAGGAAGAACACCGGUGGCGAAGGCGGCUAUCUGGACAGUAACUGACGCUGAGGCGCGAAAGCGUGGGGAGCAAACAGGAUUAGAUCCCCUGGUAGUCCACGCCGUAAACGAUGAAUACUAGGUGUAGGGGGUAUCGACUCCCUCUGUGCCGCAGUUAACACAAUAAGUAUUCCGCCUGGGGAGUACGGCCGCAAGGUUGAAACUCAAAUGAAUUGGCGGGG